GAAACAGUUGCUAAGACUGGAUAGGAAAUAAAAAGGCAUCUUUUUAUUUUUAAAAGACCUUUUUCGGAAGGUAUGCUUAAAGAGGGGCUUGCGUCACAUUAGUUAGUUGGCAGGGUAAAGGCCUACCAAGACUAUGAUGUGUAGCUGGACUGAGAGGUUGAACAGCCACAUUGGGACUGAGACACGGCCCAAACUCCUACGGGAGGCAGCAGUAGGGAAUUUUCGGCAAUGGAGGAAACUCUGACCGAGCAACGCCGCGUGAACGAUGAAGUAUUUCGGUAUGUAAAGUUCUUUUAUUGAAGAAGAAAAAAUAGUGGAAAAACUAUCUUGACGAUAUUCAAUGAAUAAGCCCCGGCAAACUAUGUGCCAGCAGCCGCGGUAAUACAUAGGGGGCGAGCGUUAUCCGGAAUUAUUGGGCGUAAAGGGUGCGUAGGCGGUUUAAUAAGUCUAUAGUUUAAUUUCAGUGCUUAACACUGUCCUGCUAUAGAAACUAUUAGACUAGAGUGAGAUAGAGGCAAGUGGAAUUCCAUGUGUAGCGGUAAAAUGCGUAAAUAUAUGGAGGAACACCAGAGGCGUAGGCGGCUUGCUGGGUCUUUACUGACGCUGAGGCACGAAAGCGUGGGGAGCAAACAGGAUUAGAUACCCUGGUAGUCCACGCCGUAAACGAUGAGUACUAAGUGUCGGGAUUACUCGGUACUGAAGUUAACACAUUAAGUACUCCGCCUGAGUAGUACGUACGCAAGUAUGAAACUUAAAGGAAUUGACGGGACUCCGCACAAGCGGUGGAUCAUGUUGUUUAAUUCGAAGAUACACGAAAAACCUUACCAGGUCUUGACAUACUCUGCAAAGCUAUAGCAAUAUAGUGGAGGUUAUCAGAGAUACAGGUGGUGCAUGGUUGUCGUCAGCUCGUGUCGUGAGAUGUUAGGUUAAGUCCUAAAACGAGCGCAACCCUUGUCAUUAGUUGCCAGCAUGUCAUGAUGGGCACUUUAAUGAGACUGCCAAUGAAAAAUUGGAGGAAGGUGAGGAUCACGUCAAAUCAUCAUGCCCCUUAUGAUCUGGGCUACAAACGUGAUACAAUGGCUGUUACAAAGAGUAGCUGAAACGCAAGUUUAUAGCCAAUCUCAUAAAAGCAGUCUCAGUUCGGAUUGAAGUCUGCAACUCGACUUCAUGAAGUUGGAAUCGCUAGUAAUCGCGAAUCAGCAUGUCGCGGUGAAUACGUUCUCGGGGUUUGUACACACCGUGCGUC
rnacentral:rRNA from 1 species